CCUACGGGAGGCAGCAGUGGGGAAUUUUACGCAAUGGGGGAAACCCUGACGUAGCGACACCGCGUGAGCGAAGAAGCCCUUUGGGGUGUAAAGCUCUGUCAGCUGGAACGAAAACAAUGACGGUACCAGCAGAGGAAGCAUCGGCUGACUACGUGCCAGCAGCCGCGGUAAGACGUAGGAUGCGAGCGUUGUCCGGAUUUAUUGGGCGUAAAGAGUUCGUAGGUGGUUUGUUAAGUUUGGUGUUAAAGAUCGGGGCUCAACCCUGGGACUGCACCGAAUACUGGCAGACUCGAGUGUGGUAGAGGCUAGUGGAAUUCCCAGUGUAGCGGUGAAAUGCGUAGAUAUUGGGAAGAACACCGGUGGCGUAGGCGACUAGCUGGGCCAUAACUGACGCUGAGGAACGAAAGCCAGGGGAGCGAAUGGGAUUAGAUACCCCAGUAGUCCUGGCCGUAAACGAUGGAUACUAGGCGUAUCGGGUAUCGACCCCUGAUGUGCCGCAGCUAACGCGAUAAGUAUCCCGCCUGAGUAGUACGGCCGCAAGGUUGAAACUCAAAGGAAUUGACGG
rnacentral:rRNA from 1 species